GAUGAACGCUAGCGGCAGGCCUAAUACAUGCAAGACGAACGGUAAGUUGAGUAGCAAUACUUAGCCAAGAGUGUCGUACGGGUGCGUAACACGUAUGCAACCUACCCUAUACAGGAGGAUAGCCUAGGGAAACCUGGAUUAACCCUUCAUAGUAUUAUUGGAUGGCAUCAUUUGAUAAUUAAAACUGAGGUGGUAUAGGAUGGGCAUGCGUCUGAUUAGUUAGUUGGCGGGGUAAUGGCCCACCAAGACGAUGAUCAGUAGGGGUUCUGAGAGGAAGAUCCCCCACACUGGCACUGAGAUACGGGCCAGACUCCUACGGGAGGCAGCAGUAGGGAAUAUUGGUCAAUGGAUGCAAGUCUGAACCAGCCAUGCCGCGUGCAGGAAGAAGGCCUUCUGGGUUGUAAACUGCUUUUGCCAGGGGAUAAAAUUCCAUGCGUGGAAAACUGAAGGUACCUGGUGAAUAAGCCACGGCUAACUACGUGCCAGCAGCCGCGGU
rnacentral:rRNA from 1 species